GUGAACGCUGGCGGUAGGCCUAACCCAUGCAAGUCGAACGGCAGCACAGUAAGAGCCUGCUCUUACGGGUGGCGAGUGGCGGACGGGUGAGGAAUACAUCGGAAUCUACUUUUUCGUGGGGGAUAACGUAGGGAAACUUACGCUAAUACCGCAUACGACCUACGGGUGAAAGCAGGGGAUCUUCGGACCUUGCGCGAUUGAAUGAGCCGAUGUCGGAUUAGCUAGUUGGCGGGGUAAAGGCCCACCAAGGCGACGAUCCGUAGCUGGUCUGAGAGGAUGAUCAGCCACACUGGAACUGAGACACGGUCCAGACUCCUACGGGAGGCAGCAGUGGGGAAUAUUGGACAAUGGGCGCAAGCCUGAUCCAGCCAUACCGCGUGGGUGAAGAAGGCCUUCGGGUUGUAAAGCCCUUUUGCUGGGAAAGAAAAGCAGCAGGUUAAUACCCCGCUGUUCUGACGGUACCCAAAGAAUAAGCACCGGCUAACUUCGUG
rnacentral:rRNA from 1 species